AAUACGUAGGUCCCGAGCGUUGCCCGGAAUCACUGGGCGUAAAGCAAACGUAGAAACUUCGGUAAGUCGAACGUGAAAUCCCUGGGCUCAACCCAGGAACGGCGUUCGAGACUGCCGGACUCGAGGAAACUAGAGGGCGCUGGAAUUCCCGGUGUAAAACUGAAAUGCGUAGAUAUCGGGAGGAACACCGGUGGCGAAGAAACGCGCCUGGGCCGCUCCUGACGCUGAGCCGCGAAAGCUGGGGGAGCAAACCGGAUUAGAUACCCGGGUAGUCCCAGCCCUAAACGAUGGGUGCUUGGUGUGGGGGGUUUUAGUCCCUCCGUGCCUGUAGCUAACGCGUUAAGCACCCCGCCUGGGGAGUACGGUCGCAAGGCU
rnacentral:rRNA from 1 species